CAUUGUUCGGUUUUACCAAGUGCUAAAUGCAUAUCAGAGCUUCUAAAAGCUUGUCUCCUUUGCUCCUUUCCUUCACUGCAAGGUCUCACUAUGAUGAUGAUACACGAUACUCCCUUAAGUACGUUUAAGUACAUCGUUCUUGAAAAAAGAAUAUUUGAAACAUACAAAUUCAAAUGAUUAUUCCAACUGGGAUUUUGACUUGGUACCACUAAUAAAGUUACUCAUUUUCCUCGGUGAAGGUAAUAAUAAUAAUAAGUUGCUGGAUGCAUCUUGGAAUUCCAUAUAAUUAGCAAUGCAAGAUACAUACAAAAACUGUUUCUUGGGGUUUUAUCUAAAAUCCUCUUAUUAGUUGGCCAAAUAAAAUUUCUCCCUCUCCAUCUGUCUCUCUCUCUCCCUGUCCCUCUGUCUCUGUCUCCCUUUCUCUCUGUGUGUCUCUUCGGCUCUCUCUGUCUGUCUGUCUCUCUCCCUCUCUCUCUCUCUCUUUCUCUGUCUCUCUCUCUUUCUAUCUCUGUAUCUCUCUGUCCCUCCCUCCCUCCCUCUUGUUUCCUCUUUCUAAACUUCAUUUUCUUAAAGACAGCCCUGUAGCCCCAGGCCCUCAGAUUAAUACAGUUUCACCUUACUGAACUCUGUAGGCCGUGACGCGAGGAGCCAGCCAGCUCAAGCCAGUUCCUGACGCCUGACUGUAAACAGCCCUUCCCAGUCGCAGGUUCAGUGAUGUCACUUUGGGAACUUGAAAUUAGCCACUCCGAGUACUUGCACCCUGGAAACUGACAGAUGCUACAAAUCAGGUAUUUUCUUUCAGAGAGCUGACCGUUACACUUUCGUCAUCACACUGCUGGGCGAUUUCCAAAGGCCACUUUAAAGAGAAUUAAACAGAACAUGGAAAGAAAAACUGUGAAAUCAAAAGCCUGCAGGAGAACUAGAAGACGGAUAGAAUCCUAUGUCUGGUAUCCGCCAGCCUGCUCCCUUCCUUCCCCACCUAACGUAGCCGACCUCUGGAAUCGCGCCUUCAAAGUCCCCUCGCGUUUUCGUAAACACAGCGCUACCACACUCGUACAUGUAUGACCCAAAGUAUGUUUUACACCCGGAGCACAUCCUGACUGAGGCGGGCUUUGGGUCAGGUGUUUGACAGCCACCUGCGGGCAGCAGGCGCCAUGCCGGGCGGAGCAGCUCCAAACACACCCUCGGUACCUGGAAGUCAGCAGAUGUCUCCCUGUCAAUGACUGCCCAGCCACGGAGCACAGAAGUACUGACACGUUCCGUGCCAUGGGGAGCCUGGAAACUCGACCCUGAGUGAAAGGAGCCGGACAUAGGGAAGGUCGCACGAUUGCAGGUCCAGACCCAUGAGCCAGUCAUGAAAACCUUAGGAGGUUGUGACCAGAUUUGUAUUUAUUAAAUAGAAUAAACACAGAAUGGAAAAAUGUAUGAGAGCAUCGCACUCAGUGAAGCAGGGACUGCCUAGGUGGUGACGUCGAAGUGCCAGGUCCCCGCUACUUCCCCCUAUAUCGGUGUGGCAUCAGUGGGUUCCUGUGAGACUCAGCAGAGGACAGCGGCUGGAAAAAUUCUUCAUAAACGGUAAAGUGAAUGACAAGGAGGCAGGGGAUCCUAGUAUAUACUGAAGUAACACACUGAAGUUUAGAGAGCUUCUUUAACACAUGCGAGGCCUCCUUGUAAAGAUGGGAGAGGUCCCUAAACAGAUGAGCGAGGCGGGCGGGGUCCGUGCACAGAUACGCAGGUAUAUGUUCUGCAGUGGUCUAUGCACACAGGAAGGCUUGUGUGUAGAAGCUGUGUCCUCAUACAGAUACUUUUAAGUGGGAGAAGGCUUUUACCCAAACGGAGGCAUCCUUACAGGUGAGAUGAGGCUUACACACAGAAGUGAAGGGUUUUCAUUGAUGCAACUGACUAUUAUUUUUUAAAUGUUGUGCAAAUGCUAGUGACCUUUGCACAGGCUUGAAGGUUCUUCCUAAAGAUAAAGGCAUCGCUGCGCUGUAGAACUAUGUAACAGUUGGAGCGGCCUUGCACUGGCGGUCGCUGUUCAGCCGGGCUCUGUCGCGGCCUCCGAGGGAGCAGCGCGGUACCUGCGCGGGCAGGCGGCAGGUGGG